rnacentral:lncRNA from 1 species
AAGCUAUCAAUCAACCUUGGGCCAUCUUCAACGUUGAGGGUUUCCUUGAGCUCGUUAAACAGUGCUCGUUUUUGUGCAGGCAUCAUCCUUCUGCAUUGCCUUGAUUUGUCAAAUUUACCUUUGACCAUAUUGAAGUCGCCAAUAAGCAUUCAACAGCACGUUUGGGGGAGUUCACGUGGCAAGGUCUCUUAGAGCACACAUCUUUCAUUGGGCUCGUUUGGAGCAUAGAUGUUGACAAAACCUGCAUCCCCUCUGGGUAAGCCACUGAAAAUGAACCAGUGAGCUCAAUUUGACAUCAUCGAGCCGGUUGCUGAAACCAGCUUGGCCUACUUUGGCGCAAUAAAAGUAGCAACACCUCCUUUGCCAGCUUUGUUGUCGUCUCCAGUGCACCCUACUGUGGCAUCCAGGCACCAGUAGGUGGAUCUUACCUGUAGCUGCUUGUGUAAUUUGGUAGCCGUUUUUUGACGUAACUUAUUUUCCUGCAAGAACAGGAAGUCCAAGGACAGUUUGAGGCCCUGAAUGUAGUGUUUCAAAGUGUCAAUGGCUUGCGGGGCGUUAAGUCUGCGAACAUCGUAAGAUAACAUUUGUA